rnacentral:rRNA from 1 species
GGGUGAUAGUCCCGUACACCAAAAUGCACAGGCUGUGAACUCGAAGAGUAGGGCGGGACACGUGGUAUCCUGUCUGAAUAUGGGGGGACCAUCCUCCAAGGCUAAAUACUCCUGACUGACCGAUAGUGAACCAGUACCGUGAGGGAAAGGCGAAAAGAACCCCGGCGAGGGGAGUGAAAAAGAACCUGAAACCGUGUACGUACAAGCAGUGGGAGCACCUUCGGGUGUGACUGCGUACCUUUUGUAUAAUGGGUCAGCGACUUAUAUUCUGUAGCAAGGUUAACCGUAUAGGGGAGCCGCAGGGAAACCGAGUCUUAACUGGGCGUUAAGUUGCAGGGUAUAGACCCGAAACCCGGUGAUCUAGCCAUGGGCAGGUUGAAGGUUGGGUAACACUAACUGGAGGACCGAACCGACUAAUGUUGAAAAAUUAGCGGAUGACUUGUGGCUGGGGGUGAAAGGCCAAUCAAACCGGGAGAUAGCUGGUUCUCCCCGAAAGCUAUUUAGGUAGCGCCUCGUGAACUCAUCUUCGGGGGUAGAGCACUGUUUCGGCUAGGGGGUCAUCCCGACUUACCAACCCGAUGCAAACUACGAAUACCGAAGAAUGUUAUCACGGGAGACACACGGCGGGUGCUAACGUCCGUCGUGAAGAGGGAAACAACCCAGACCGCCAGCUAAGGUCCCAAAGUCAUGGUUAAGUGGGAAACGAUGUGGGAAGGCACAGACAGCCAGGAUGUUGGCUUAGAAGCAGCCAUCAUUUAAAGAAAGCGUAAUAGCUCACUGGUCGAGUCGGCCUGCGCGGAAGAUGUAACGGGGCUAAACCAUGCACCGAAGCUGCGGCAGCGACACUAUGUGUUGUUGGGUAGGGGAGCG